AUUCACUUCAUGUAAACUAUUACAAAGAAGAACCUUGUGCACACUAUCUUAGUCUUCAAGCUGAGGGUUUGACUCUAACAGGCUCUAUCUCUACUUUCAAACAAAAAAGAACAACUACAAAAAAAUGGCCGACAUGUCUAGGAUACGUUCAAUCAACCGUGAACUCAAAGUUAUGAUUUUAGAUAAAAAUAAGUGCGAACAGUGGAGUUAAGAACAAAGAGCAGAAGUACUAUGAACCGAUGAAGCAAUUGUAUAAUUUAUUCAGCUGGUAUGCAGACAAGUGACAGGGUGUGACAGGCAUGGUUUUUGGCGCACUUUCCUAAGUUUUAUGUUGUUGAUCCAAACACCAAAUAUGUUGAAAACUUACCGGUUGUGGCGAGGUGGAAGCUUCAGAAGGGUCAUGGAGAGGGUGUCAUGUAUCGGUCACUGCUUGAUCGCAUUACGUUUGAUGACGUAUGCUGGAGGCCGUACAAAGAGCACAGAGACUUCCAGGCUUUCGAGGAGGUAUUCUGGUAUUCAGGCUGAAUUAUGUGCGGUGAUCGUAGGGUGUACCGUCACUUGCCCGAGAGGGUUUUGAGGCAGUACGGAUACGUCCUGACCGUCCCUAGACAUCCGUCGGAUGUUGUAGAGUUGUCACCGGCUGAGAUUGUGCAGGCUUUCGUCGACUUCCGUACUCACACGCUUAAGGCGGCUGAUUGGGUGAGCAUGUAGGAGGGUAGACAUGGCGUAUGACAGAUGGCUAUGUACGAUGGUACACCGUUGUGUCUCACCCUCAAAUUUUGCCACUUCUUCCAGGAGAUAUUCCGAGGCCUCCAAAUGAGGAGCAGAUCAUUGCAGAGCAGUGGGAGCGGUACGAGGCGAGAAGCUCCCCUGAUACCUAUGACAUGGUUAGUGGCGUUGUUGCCCAUGCUGAUGAGUUUUUGGGUCAGGAGGUGAUGAGCAUGACCCCUCGGCAGUUGUAUGUGGCCUUGCAUGAUGUUAGGCAGCAGAUCGCGCCGAUCAUUACCAUGAGGCGAGGCUAGAGGCUGAGGAGGAGGCACCAGCAGCACCAGCAGGACCAGGACCAGCAGUAGGAUUAGGACUUGUUUUUUACUUUUUGG